UACGAGGGGUGCAAGCGUUGCUCGGAAUUAUUGGGCGUAAAGGGUAGGUAGGUGGUCUCAUUUGUCUGGGGUGAAAGCCUUGAGCUUAACUCAAGAAGUGCCUUAGAAACGGUGGGACUAGAAUCUGAGAGAGGGUCGUGGAAUUCCCGGUGUAGCGGUGAAAUGCGUAGAGAUCGGGAGGAACACCAGAGGCGAAGGCGGCGACCUGGAUCAGUAUUGACACUCAACUACGAAAGCAUGGGGAGCAAACAGG
rnacentral:rRNA from 1 species